rnacentral:rRNA from 1 species
GAGUGCAAUCAUACCAGCGUUAAUGCACCAGAUCCCAUCAGAACUCAACAGUUAAGCGCACUUGGGAUAGAGUAGUAUUGGGAUGGGUGACGUCUCAGGAAGUCCUAGUGUUGCACCCU